rnacentral:rRNA from 1 species
UACAUGCAAGUCGAGCGAACAGAUAAGGAGCUUGCUCCUUUGACGUUAGCGGCGGACGGGUGAGUAACACGUGGAUAACCUACCUAUAAGACUGGGAUAACUUCGGGAAACCGGAGCUAAUACCGGAUAACAUAUUGAACCGCAUGGUUCAAUAGUGAAAGGCGGCUUUGCUGUCACUUAUAGAUGGAUCCGCGCCGUAUUAGCUAGUUGGUAAGGUAACGGCUUACCAAGGCAACGAUACGUAGCCGACCUGAGAGGGUGAUCGGCCACACUGGAACUGAGACACGGUCCAGACUCCUACGGGAGGCAGCAGUAGGGAAUCUUCCGCAAUGGGCGAAAGCCUGACGGAGCAACGCCGCGUGAGUGAUGAAGGUCUUCGGAUCGUAAAACUCUGUUAUCAGGGAAGAACAAAUGUGUAAGUAACUGUGCACAUCUUGACGGUACCUGAUCAGAAAGCCACGGCUAACUACGUGCCAGCAGCCGCGGUAAUACGUAGGUGGCAAGCGUUAUCCGGAAUUAUUGGGCGUAAAGCGCGCGUAGGCGGUUUUUUAAGUCUGAUGUGAAAGCCCACGGCUCAACCGUGGAGGGUCAUUGGAAACUGGAAAACUUGAGUGCAGAAGAGGAAAGUGGAAUUCCAUGUGUAGCGGUGAAAUGCGCAGAGAUAUGGAGGAACACCAGUGGCGAAGGCGACUUUCUGGUCUGUAACUGACGCUGAUGUGCGAAAGCGUGGGGAUCAAACAGGAUUAGAUACCCUGGUAGUCCACGCCGUAAACGAUGAGUGCUAAGUGUUAGGGGGUUUCCGCCCCUUAGUGCUGCAGCUAACGCAUUA